rnacentral:rRNA from 1 species
UGAGGAAUUUUGCGCAAUGGGGGAAACCCUGACGCAGCAACGCCGCGUGAGUGAUGAAGGCUUUCGGGUCGUAAAGCUCUGUCAAGUGGGAAGAACCCACAUGGUGAUAAUACCGCUAUGUGCUGACGGUACC